rfam:Lutzomyia longipalpis Contig9666, whole genome shotgun sequence.
GUAGGUUAUGGUGACAUGGCGCCCAAGACGUAUGUUGGCAUGUUCGUGGGUGCCCUAUGUGCCCUAGCUGGUGUACUGACGAUUGCCCUGCCAGUUCCUGUAAUCGUCAGCAAU